rnacentral:lncRNA from 1 species
UCUCCACCAUUAACAUACUUUGGUUUUUCAUGCAUAACUUAAGCAUAAAUAUUACCAUGAAAAUCAUACCACAUAAGCAUAGAAGGUAUCUUACCGUAAAACUUGAAGAUCUUUGAUUGAAAUGAAUUGAAAGUGCUAAACUUUCUUCCUUCUCCUUUCCUUUCUUGAUUUCGGUUUUUGCCUUCUUUUUAAGUGUAUAAGUGUGUUGUAAAAUGAAGGAAAUAUUUCUAUGGCAAUGGAUAUGGAUGUAUUUAUACUCAUACAAAGAUAAGGAUAAAACUUGAUAUUUUUAUUUUUUAUUACUUGGUUUGGCCGACUUUGACUUCCCCCCCCCCUUUUUUUUUAAUAACUUUACAAUGUGUGAAAAUCAGUGUGACAUGAAUGAAUAGUAAAGAAAGCCUCUCUUUUAAGAAAGUAAAGAAAGAAAAGUAAUCCCCUCUCCUCACACACGUAAACAUGUAUGUAUGUAAAUGUGUAUGUACACAUCCAUAUAAUUUUCACCCUCUAUUAACAUUUUAUUUUUGCGUCCAGUGCAAUUUCAUUUUCUUCUACAGUGAAUGAAAAAUGGAGUGAAAUAGUGAUUUGAAAUUGUUGAAGUUGGCUAUGAAUGAUGAUAGUUGAUUCCUCACUAGCUUCGAAACGGCGAAAAUUCAUGACCUUCAACCUCAUGAACCAUGAAUAUGUAAACGUGGAUAUAUUUUCAUGCAUGUACAGAAACGAGAACAUACCUUAUAUGGAGCUAAAGGAAGACGAACCCAACUAGAUUUUCAUCUACAAACAAAGAAAGACUACGUACCUUAAAUAAAUAGUAAGAAAAUAAAAAAAGAAAUACACAAAAAAGAAAAAUUAUAAGAAGAACAUACCCAAAAUAAUUGUUGCAACUUCUAGAAUUUUCUUCUCCACUAUUGAUGACGAGAAAAUACGAAUUAGGCUAAAGGCAAAAGCGAAUAAUGGUAGAAGGACGCCCUUUUUUUUUCCAGAGAAAACAAGAUUUUGGGGAGAAUUCGUUCUGCAAAACAAUGGCUAGAAUUUAGAAAGAGAAGGAUUGAAUUGAUAGAAGAGUAUUGUGCGAAAUUUAUGUGGUAGGAAAAAAAAAUAAACAGCACACGACAUUUUACUUCAAAUGUGGGUCCCAUUCAUUAAUGUUUGGACAACUAUAUUUUUUAAUUCCCAUAUCACCCUUAACAUUAAUAUAGGUAUGGAAAUUAGUGUGUAGUUAGAAAGUGAAGGGUAAUUGUGCCAAAUUGUUUAUUAAAUAGAGGGUAUAAUGUUACUUUUGAUAUCUCAAUUAUGUGGGAAAAAGGACGAUCAUCUAAUAACUUUGCUAUAUACCUCGGGAAUGC